AUUCUCCCUCGCUGGCUUCGCACGCCGCCUGGCCCACGCGGGGCUCGGGAGACAGCCCCAGAGACUCCCAGAGGCUGGGGAGGGAAGGAGAGAGGCCGCGGGGCACGGGGGUGGUGGGGGUGAUACUUUGACGGAAAAAAAAAAAGGUCAAACUUGAUCUGCCCGCCAGGCACCCCGCGGGCAGCGGGGGCGAGGAGCCGGAGGGGAAAUGCAGAAGUGGCCGCCGCCUGUUCCAAGCGGUGGGGGAGGCUCUGAGCAGUUGCCGUCGCCCCGAACACAGGGCUGCGAGCGGGGCCUGAUGGGGGGGCAGUGCGCGCCGGAGAUCUCCAAGCAGCCGCCCCCGCAGGCGGAGCGCCCGCCCAGCGCCGAGAGUGAUCUGCGACCGAGCAUACUGCGGCUUGGGGAGGCUUGGGCACAGCAGCGGCCACCGAGCGAUCACUGGCGCUAGGUCUCCCAGGCUCCGGGGCUCCGCAGCUCAGGCUGCGGGCGCCCCCUGCCCCUCCCAAACACGGACCCCUCCUACCCAGUCCCUGGCUCUCCGCACCUGAACUUCGGGGGAACCCGCGCCGCCAAACUUUCAGCCGACUCGCACCGAACUCCGGCCCUGGCCGCGCACCGAACCCCGGGGGAGGAGAGGGAGG